GCAACUCGCCUACACGAAGUUGGAAUUGCUAGUAAUCGUGGAUCAGCAUGCCACGGUGAAUACGUUCCCGGGUCUUGUACACACCGCCCGUCACACCAUGGGAGGUCGGUAACACCCGAAGUCAGUAGUCUAACCGCAAGGAGGACGCUGCCGAAGGUGGGAUUGACGACUGGGGUGAAGUCGUAACAAGGUAUC
rnacentral:rRNA from 1 species